rnacentral:misc_RNA from 1 species
AUCAGCUGUGGGUAUGAGGAUAAAACAGACUGGGGAAGUGAGAUUGGAUGGAUCUAUGGUUCUGUUACAGAAGAUAUUCUUACUGGAUUUAAGAUGCAUGCCCGUGGUUGGCGAUCAAUUUACUGCAUACCCGAGCGUCCAGCCUUUAAAGGGUCUGCUCCUAUUAAUCUUUCAGAUCGUCUGAACCAAGUGCUUCGAUGGGCUUUAGGUUCUGUGGAAAUUCUUCUCAGUCGGCAUUGUCCAAUUUGGUAUGGUUAUGGUGGUAGACUAAAAUGGCUUGAAAGGUUUGCAUAUGUUAACACCACCAUUUAUCCGGUUACAGCCAUUCCCCUUCUCAUGUACUGCACGCUUCCAGCUGUGUGUCUACUUACUAACAAGUUCAUUAUGCCACAGAUUAGUAAUCUUGCAAGUAUAUGGUUCAUCUCUCUCUUUCUUUCCAUCUUUGCAACCGGUAUCUUGGAGAUGAGAUGGAGUGGUGUUGGAAUCGACGAAUGGUGGAGAAAUGAACAGUUUUGGGUUAUUGGAGGAGUUUC